AAAAACGACAACUGGCAGGUCGAUCCUAUCUUGCGAUGUCUGAACUGAAUGCAUCCGUGUUACUGGCACUUUUUAUACUUUCGACAACACAGAUUUCCUAUUCAUACAGUUAUUGCAACUUGGAGUACAUUGGCAUGGAUUGCAGUUCUGGCAAUCACACCUGCCCACCAGGUUGCCAAUGCAGUCGUUACACACCCGUUGGAAGGAAAGUCGAAAAAUGGUUGUGUGGUCCACAUAAGGUUAACAGGUUUAUGUAGACUGCCAUGUAUGCUUCAUAGCACGUGAUGAAAACGAGAUUCGGGCAUCCUCUUUGAACUACGAUUAGUUAUAAAAAACAAGGGUGCUGAUCCAAUGUACGUGUUCGAGUCCACGGAAAGCGAACUUUGAGGAAAAGGGAGAAAUAAAU